rnacentral:lncRNA from 1 species
AAUGCACGCAAUUUGACCUUAUGCUACACUUCCAGUCUCUACUCCUGCCUCUUUAUGCUCUGUCCACAUGUGAUUUCUCACUAUUCUCUACAUGGCUUGUGCCCCUAUAAGGUUUGUGCCCUUCAUUUCCUGUGCCCUCUACCUCUGGUUCCCAUGCUCAGAAUAUCAGUGUCCUUACUGCAGGGGUGUAUAAGCUCAGAUCUCACCUCCUCCAUGAAGCCCCUAUAGACACCCAGAGAGGAUUAAUAAUGACCCUCCUCCAUGUUUCCAUAACACUGCUAGGCUUUCUCCUGAAUUUUUGUUUUUAGGCUAAUGAAUUAGGCUUUAAUCUCUUUUAACUCUAAGGUAUAAUUAGAUGUACUAUAUUCACAGAAUCAAGGGAAUUUGAGUUGGAAAGGGCCCUAGAGAUCAGCUAGAACCACCUCCUCAUUUCACCAGAAAUAAUUGAAAUUUUAGGGGACUUGUCCAAUUUACUAUUUUUGGCUAGUUGUAGGACUCAAACUAGAACUGCUUCCUGGAUCUGUGCUUUUUCAUUAGAAUAUGUUGUAGCCAUGUGGUAGACAGAAAAAUCUGCUCCCCUCCCCUCUUCAGAUGUCCAUAUUCUAUUCCAUGGAACUUGUGAAUAUGUUAGGUUACAUGGCAAAGAGAGAUUAAGGUUGUAGAUGAUAUUAAAGUGGCUAAUUAGCUAAAUUUAAAAUAGGGAGAUUUUCCUGGGUUAUCUAGGUGGGUCCUGUGUAAUCACAAGAGUCCUUUAAAUGUUGAAGGGAGAAACAGAAGAGUGUCAGAGCAAUAUGCUAUGGAAAAGUUUGGCUGCCAUCACUGGCUUUGAAGAUAGAAGGGGCCAUGAACCAGGGAAUGUGGACCUCUUUUGGAAGAUGAAAAAGACAAAAAAAAAAAAAAAAAAAAAAAAAAAGAAAGAAAGAAAGAAAGAAAAAGGAUUCUGUCCCAGAGCCUCCAAAAGGUAUAUAGUCCUGCUAGCAUUUUGAUUCUAGUCCAGUGAGACACAGAUUUCUGACUUCCACAACCAUAAGAUAAUAAAUUUAUAUUGUUUUAAGCUACUGAAUUUGUGGUAAUUUGUUACCAUAACAAGAAAUGCAUGUACUUAAGUCCAAACAAGGUUAAAUUGAUAACUCAAAGCUUACUAAAGAGGAAUAUGAUUACUGAGGGGUUUUUUUUAAGGCAUAUUUUAUUUCCACAAACUUUGAGAUUUACUCUGAAUGUUUUGGGUUCUAUUUAUUCAUUCAUCCAAUGAAUCUCUAUUGAAUGUGUGACGUUUGCUGUAGUAGACAUUAUGGUAGUUUAAUUUUAUGCCUCAGUGUUUUCAGUCUUCCCUGCAUCUAUCUUCUUACCAUGGACUCAUUAUGGGUGAAGGGUACUUUCUUAUGCUUUGACUUUGGACUUGGCCAUGUGACUUGUUUUGGCCAAUUAUAUGUGGGCAGAAGUGAGUGUGUCAGUUUUGAGCCAAGCUUAAGAGCCAUGCUAUUGCUUUAGAGAAGCUUCUCCUUGUCAUCUGCUCCCUAGCCUGGAUAACACAUGGAACACUUGAAACAGAAUAUCUAGCUGAGCCCCAGACCUGAAUACAACAUGUUUAAGACCACAGAACAUCUGCAUAGGCUGUAAAUUUCGUUGAAUGAUGGAUGCAAAGAUGGAAGACAGAUGGAUAGAGGAAAAGACAGAAUCAGAUACUGGAUGAGUUAGUACUGCUGCCUGUGCUUCAGAGCUGUCUUAUUACCACAAGGCCGGCAAGCAUCAAUGUCCCCACAUCCCCCUCUGCCUCCCCCUGAAAUGUACCGAUUUAUAUGAAAAUUAAGAUUACAAAUUAAAGCCUGGCUAUCCUGGAGUUUUCCAGUUCAUCAGCCAUCCAAUAAAAAUGAUGUCAAGCCUGUAUGCAUAAUUCCCGGAAGAUUACUUUCGUCCUUACAGCUAAGCCCUGUCCCUGAUAUGAAAGAUCUCUAUCCACUUUUAUUGAAAUAAAGAACUAACAUCAUAAUCCCAAUAUUGAGGUAUAAUCUUCAUUAUCUCCUGACCCUCUUGAGGUUCCCCCAAUCUAUAUUACUUCAGAUUUGGUUUAUGUGUAAUCCUUAUGUAUUUACUUUUAUUGAGAUAGGAUUAAAAACUAAAAAAAAAGCUUCAA